ACGCGAAAGGGGCUUCGGCCCUGAGUAGAGUGGCGAACGGGUGAGUAACACGUGGGUGAUCUACCUUUGAGUGGGGGAUAACGUUCCGAAAGGAGCGCUAAUACCGCAUGACGUUCCGGGUUUGAAGACCUGGAAACCAAAGCCGGGGACCGCAAGGCCUGGCGCUUGGAGAGGAGCCCGCGUCCGAUUAGCUAGUUGGCGGGGUAAUGGCCCACCAAGGCGACGAUCGGUAGCCGGCCUGAGAGGGCGGACGGCCACACUGGAACUGAGACACGGUCCAGACUCCUACGGGAGGCAGCAGUGGGGAAUUGUUCACAAUGGGCGCAAGCCUGAUGACGCAACGCCGCGUGGGGGAUGAAGGUCUUCGGAUUGUAAACCCCUGUCGAACGGGACGAAAGACUCGCGAGCUAAUCAUCGCGGGAGUGACGGUACCGUUAAAGGAAGCCACGGCUAACUCUGUGCCAGCAGCCGCGGUAAUACAGAGGUGGCAAGCGUUGUUCGGAAUUACUGGGCGUAAAGGGCGAGUAGGUGGCCAUCUAAGUCAGACGUGAAAUCCCCCGGCUUAACCUGGGAACUGCGUCUGAUACUGGACGGCUUGAGUAUGGGAGAGGAACGUAAAAUUCCAGGUGUAGCGGUGAAAUGCGUAAAUAUCUGGAGGAAUACCGGUUGGCGAAGGCGGCGUUCUGGACCAUUACUGACACUGAAUCGCGAAAGCUAGGGGAGCAAACGGGAUUAGAUACCCCGGUAGUCCUAGCCUAAAC
rnacentral:rRNA from 1 species